GAAGCAAAUCGGAAAGAGAAAGUCAUUUAUGGCAGUAUGAAGAAAGUUCUGGACUUCUCAUGGGAAAGUAGCUGACGUCAGUGUUUGAUAAGCUUCCUGUGGCCACAAACAUAUGAGACAUUGACUCCUGAGAAAAAUGUAAAUCUUUCUCUUUACAGAAUCAUGGUGUGCCUGCAGCUGGAAUUUGGUAGAACUAUCAUACAUUAAGAGAGACCUGAUGCAGAUAUUAAAAAUUCCAAAGACUGUGGAGAGACAGUGGCUGGCAGGAGUGUUUCUGUUGUUGUCGCCAUCACCAUCAGCAUCACCAACACCAUCAUCACUAUUAUCAUUAUCAUUAUCAUUAUCAACAAGCACUGAUGUGUAUUGUAUUUGCAAUGCACUAUGUUAAAUGUUUGGGCUCCAGUGAAUGAUAAGAAACAGUGCACCUAACUUUUAUGGAUAUUUAAUUUUCCAACAAAGGCAGCCUUCCUGGCCCUAUUCUGCCCAUGUGUCCAUGUAUGGCUCCUUUGCUUUUUAAAUUGAGAAUCUACUAUUUAUCAAGUAUCAUUUUAUUUUACUUUAAAAAUAGUAAUGUUUUUAAGGUAGAGUAUGCAUACUGUACAAUUCGCCCAUUUCGAGUGUACAAUUUGUUUUUAGUGUAUUCAGAGUUGAGCAACCAACACCAAAAUCAAUAUAGAACAUUUUCAUCACCCAAAAAGAAACCCUAUACCCUGUAGCCAUCACCCUCCUUUCAGUCUCCCCUAUCUCCCCAGGCCUAAGCACCUACUAAUCUAUACUCUGUCUCUAACAGAGCUCUCCAUUCUGAACAUUUCAUAUGAAUGGAAUCAUAUAAUAUGUGGUCUUUAGUGACUAAAUUCUUUUACUUAGCACAAUGUUUUCAAAGUUCAUCCAUAUGGUGGCAGGUAUUAGUACUUCAUUAACUUUACGACCAAAUAAUAUUCCACUGUAUGGAUAUAUCACAUUUUGCUUAUCAAUUCAUCCCUUGAUGGACAUUUAGGUUGUUUCCAUCUUUUGGCUUUUAUGAAUACUGCUGCUAGUCACAUUUGUGUACAAGUUUUUGUGUGGACAUAUUUUUUCGUCUCUCUUGGAUAUAUAUACCUAGGAAUGGCAUUGCAGGGUCAUAUGGUAAUUCUAUCGUGUGAGGGACUGGAGGACAUUUUUUCAAAGUAGCUGCACCAUUUUUAUCUUUUCACCAGCAGUGUAUGAGGGCUCUGAUUUUUCUACACCCUUGCCAGCAAGAUGGACAGGCUGUGGAGAGCUGCUGUAUGGCACAGUGCCUACAGUUAACAAUACAGCAUUGUGCAUCUAAAAAUGUGCUAAAGGGUACAUCUCAUGUUAAACGUUCUCACCACAUUCACACAUACACAAAAGGAAACUGUCUAGCUUCUUAAAAGAGAACUCACACAUAAAGAGAAACAACUACAAAGAUUAGAAUGCUCAUGAAUGAAUCCCUUAAUUCCAGUAGACUCUCAAGUUAUUGACGGUCUCAUCCAUGAAGUUGGUCCUCAGCAAUUAUGGAUAUUCACAAAGAAGCAGUACCCUAAUUCAGUACUUUCUGGUUGAGACCACAGGCAAUCCAAGUGAUUGGAUUAUUCAUUCAGUUCAGUCAACCCAUUAUACUUUAUUGAUUCAGUGAAUUGAGUUUUGUGUUCCUAUUGUAAUAAUAUGUACUUGUUUAAAGUAUUCUUAAAACUUUUUCUAGUGUUCAUUUGAUUGCUGCUUGAAAUUUAAGUACCUAAGGACAGGGCUACAUACUAUAUUUCUGUUUUGGCCAGUUGCUUACAAUGAGCAAAAACAAAGCAAAAUAACAUCCAAAGUGGAAUGAUCCUGUUCCUCUUCUGCACUUUUAACCAGUCAGCACUGCCUAUCACUCUCCUCCACCCCAGAGGUAUGCGCUGAGACCUAAUCCAGAGCCUUGAGCUCAGUCAAUGUGAAGCACAAAACACUGACAUAAGGAAUCUGUGCAGCAGUAGGGCUCAGGCCUUAUGCCGGAACCUAGAAUCAUCCAACUCAUGUAACAAAAGGCGAAACCAUCAGUGUGUGUGGCUCUGAAAAAAACCACUGGUUGGGGCACCUGGGUGUCUCAGUUAAGCGUACGACUCUUGAUUUCAGCUCAGGUCAUGAUCUCAGGUUCCUGGGGUUGAGCCUCCCCUCUGACACUGUGCUGAUAGCAAGGAGCCUGCUUGGGAGUCUCUCUCUCUGCCCCUCCCUGACUCUUCCGCACAUGCGCGUGGGCCCUUUCUCCUUCUCUCUCUCAAAAUAAAUAAAUAAACUUUAAAAAAAUCAUUGGUUGGUGUCAUUCCUCAGCAUUUAAGGAAAACCAGCCUCUGCAUUAUCCAUCUGCACAUCCAGCUGAAAGAGUAGCCCGUGGAGGCUGCAAUCCAGUGGACAAGAUGCCAAGCCCUUUGCACUAGAAAACUGGUAUAACAUCACACUUACUGUUUAUCAUCACCCAGUUAUCAGUCUGUUUUUGUCUUGGAAACUGUAGACAUCGGCAAACGCAGCAAAAAAACAGUGCAUGGGGGACCAUUUUGUGCACAGGGCCCUGGGAAGGGGCAGUGGAAUUCCUCUGAUCAGUCUCCUUUUGACUUUUUCCCAUAGACCUUGUUCCUGCACUGAAAUGUCUGGAAUGCUUGGUAGGGACGAAGUGGGUUGAUCAUAGGGCAAUUACACUUCUAUCAUCACUGAGAUCAGCUGUUUGUGGACUAAUUUCCAAGCAACUGGUGACAUCACAAAUGGGUUAAGAAUACACAUACACAGCACUUUUAUAGUAAACAGAGCUU
rnacentral:lncRNA from 1 species